GCAGCAGCUCACAGGAUUUAGGGUCUGUUGGGCUAAGAGCAGUAAGGGGAAAAAAACCACAACCCAAAAAUAAUGGUAAUAAAAAAAGAGUUGAUGUUUUCGUCAGGGAAGCAGGAAGACUUCUGGAGCCCACACUCUUGUUACUGAGUCCUGGGUGGUGAGGCAAAGCCAUGGCAAUGUGCUGUGACCACCAGAACACUCUCCAAGUGCCCCUGUCCUGAUCCCACGUCACCAUCUCUGCUUGUGGUCACUCGAUGUUUUUUCUGUGGAGAUGCCAUAACUGCAUCAAAUGAAAACCCAUUGUACGCUGGAGACUUGAAAAGUUCAUGGAUGAAUUGUCCCAGAUGUUUCUCACAGGACUUUGGCCAACGCUCAUUAAUCCUUGAAGAUGUAACCAAGGGAUCCACGGUGGAUAAUUUGGUGUAACAGUGUAUCACCAGUAUUUUUAAUUUAGAUUCCUCUUACCCACCUGAGGGUCCCACACCUGAGCCACAAGAACAGGAAAGGAGCAAGAUCUAUUUCCACACCAGAGACACUUUUCCUGAUCAACCCUGGAACAGCUGGAUAUCCCCUGUCCAUCAUCUUGGGGCACAGCAAAGCUGUGCUAGAAUCAAAAGUUUUCACAAAACACGAGAGACUGCAAAGGAAGAAGAAACUGCCUGCAAAGCUGUGAUCUUGUCCUUAGUCAGAGCUGAUUAUUUUAAAAUCCAAGAUUUUUUAUUGCUGGAGCUGUCUCAUUUCCCUGGCACAAGGUCACAGAAUGCUGUGGAGCCCAUUCCCAUUGUUCCUGAGCACUCUGGGCUGCUAUAAAAGGUACUCCAGGGCACUCAGUCACUGCACUGGAGCAUCACCACAGGGCUGGCAGGAGAUUCUGCAGGUCAGGACUUCCCUGGCAUCCAAACACCA